UUUGAGAAGAUACAAAGCUGCGGCCGAUCGGUUUUCGUAAGAACGGUCUCUUAGCUCACAAUAUGGCUAUGAGAUCUGAAAACUGAUCGGCAUACUUUUAUUUCAUUUUUUUUUUCCACCCCUAUCUUCCGCUUCGAGUUAAGUAAUUGUAAAUAGUUCAUGAUGAAUUUCUGGUUUUCGAUUAAUAAUAACUGAUCGAAAAGUUGAAUUCGGGCUUGACGCGUCCCUGUAAAAAUGUAAAUAUCACAGUCAACCUUGAAACGGUCAAUUCACGGGCGUGUAGUUCGGCCGUAUUCGGUAAACAGAGUUUGUACGUAAAUUUAUCGUCUCUGCGGCAACGCCAGUAGAACCGCUUCAGUAGAAGGAGCGAAAUCAGGAGCGACGCAUCCUCUGAGGAGAGGGGGGGAUUAAGGUUGAUAAUCGAUGGUCACCGAAUUUGCCGAGUUCUUCGCAGUAUUUAUUCAACUUUGAACUACGUGUGAAGGAGUUGCAUGGCAUCGCGUAGUUCCACAGAUUUUUCGUCUUGGAAUUUGGAUACAACGGCAGUUCAGCUUCAGCGACAGAAGCGGCGACAUCAGGAGCGACAUCAGUAGCAACGCAGUUCCCUCAGAGCGACGAUGGCGAGAGGAAACGGUCGCAGUUCCAACAUCAUCAACAUCAUUGACC